rnacentral:miRNA from 1 species
GUAGGGGUGAUAUAUUCCAUGGUAGAGGGGAUGGUGUGAAUGCCUUUUGACAAGACUCAAUAGCUUCUGUUAUCUUUAG